AAGAGAGUUUUAAGUAGGAAGCAAGGUCGAGUUGUUCUGUCAACAUUCAGAAAAGAAACUCUAUUCAAUGCUGUAAUUUCAAAUUUUCCAAAAAAUACCUCUUCAAAUUCCUGAUUAUCCCCUGAUGUGGUUCUUACCUGGCAGAAUAUUUCUGCCAGGGUUCAAAAUUGUGCUCACCCACAAGGUAACACCUACAUAGCAGAUUCAGAAAUCCCCAUUCCCUGUCCACCCUCAAAACUCUUCCUGUCUACUGGUGAAAAAACACAGCUUGAUAGUCAACUGACUAAGCAGUAGUGUAAAAGGUAGAUAGCAAAAAAGAAAGCCCUAUGAAUGUAUUACCCAAAUUAAAGCAUGGCAUAAACAUAAACACAGAAAAAGUUGAGAUAACCAUAAAUGAACAUAAAUGUGUAAUUUGACUGCAGCAUCAAGUUCAGACUCAACAUCAAACCUUUUCCUGGGGAACAUGCUAGGGCAUUAUUCUCUCAGAUGAGAUAGAAAGAUGCCUAUGCAACCGUGAAGCUCUUAGCUGUGGCAGCUAUCAUGCUGAUAUUGUUUUCCCAAUUCAAAAACUGUCCAUGAGCUGAUUGCACCCUCAUCCUCGAACACUAUAAAACUCCUCACUACCCCCCCCCAGGGUGGGUCACAUGGUCUUCAGGGCAUUAGCCCACGAUGGCCCCCUUUGCCUAGCAAAGCAAUAAAAGCUGCUCUUUUCUACUUUUCCCAAAACUCCGUCUCUGUUUCUAUUCAGCACCAGAGACAGAGUCCAGGAUUUUGGCAACAACUCAGAGACCUAAAAGUGGGCUCCGGCUGCUGCCUCAGCUGUCCCAGGAGUGUGUGGACCCACGAGCAGGAACCUGUCCUGAGAGUGAGGGGCCAGCCGCUGCCACUGGGAGACUUAUGUCAAAACUGAGGAGUCAAAAUGCAGUCUAAAAGAAGUUUAUCCUCUCAUCUCCACCCUUGUUCCACCCUGCUGCCCUCAAAGCUCAGGAUGCACUGAAGUGCCUCAAGAAUUCUCCUCUGUCUCCAGUUCUCACUCUGGCCACCAGACUGCUUGGGGAAGGAAUCAUGACUCAAGGAGAGCAGUUCUCCUCAACAGCUCUGCAGAGCACCCAGAGGAAAUUGAGAUGAAAAAAAAAAAAUCUGCCUUUUUCGAAAUCAAGUCCCUUUCUAAAGGAAACGCAGAAGGUCAGCAGCAGAGCCUAAAAUACAAACUCCUAACUCCAAACCUCAGCUUUCCACAAAUCUUACGACUGUCAGGCCACCAGCCCCUCCUUCCUCCCUGGAAACGGUAAUGGUAAGUGAUCCCUUUUCAGGAUCUCUCUAUAGACAAUUACAUUUUAAGUGAUUCAGAGUAGUCACUU
rnacentral:lncRNA from 1 species